rnacentral:rRNA from 1 species
CCUACGGGUGGCUGCAGUGGGGAAUAUUGGACAAUGCGGGGAACCCUGAUCCAGCCAUGCCGCGUGUGUGAAGAAGGCCCUCGGGUUGUAAAGCACUUUCAGUGAGGAAGAACGCCUGGUGGUUAAUACCCAUCAGGAAAGACAUCACUCACAGAAGAAGCACCGGCUAACUCCGUGCCAGCAGCCGCGGUAAUACGGAGGGUGCGAGCGUUAAUCGGAAUUACUGGGCGUAAAGCGCGCGUAGGUGGCUUGAUAAGCCGGUUGUGAAAGCCCCGGGCUCAACCUGGGAACGGCAUCCGGAACUGUCAAGCUAGAGUGCAGGAGAGGAAGGUAGAAUUCCCGGUGUAGCGGUGAAAUGCGUAGAGAUCGGGAGGAAUACCAGUGGCGAAGGCGGCCUUCUGGACUGACACUGACACUGAGGUGCGAAAGCGUGGGUAGCAAACAGGAUUAGAUACCCUAGUAGUC